rnacentral:rRNA from 1 species
UACGGAGGAUCCGAGCGUUAUCCGGAUUUAUUGGGUUUAAAGGGUGCGCAGGCGGGAGAUUAAGUCGGCGGUGAAAUUUUGCAGCUCAACUGUAAAAGUGCCUUCGAAACUGGUUUCCUUGAGUGUAGAUGAAGUAGGCGGAAUUUGUGGUGUAGCGGUGAAAUGCAUAGAUAUCACGAGGAACUCCGAUUGCGCAGGCAGCUUACUAAACUACUACUGACGCUCAUGCACGAAGGCGUGGGGAUCAAACAGGAUUAGAUACCA